rnacentral:rRNA from 1 species
AACGAACGCUGGCGGCAGGCUUAACACAUGCAAGUCGAGCGCCCCGCAAGGGGAGCGGCAGACGGGUGAGUAACGCGUGGGAAUCUACCCAUCUCUACGGAAUAACGCAUGGAAACGUGUGCUAAUACCGUAUACGUCCUUCGGGAGAAAGAUUUAUCGGAGAUGGAUGAGCCCGCGUUGGAUCAGCUAGUUGGUGGGGUAAAGGCCUACCAAGGCGACGAUCCAUAGCUGGUCUGAGAGGAUGAUCAGCCACACUGGGACUGAGACGCGGCCCAGACUCCUACGGGAGGCAGCAGUGGGGAAUAUUGGACCAUGGGCGCAAGCCUGAUCCAGCCAUGCCGCGUGAGUGAUGAAGGCCCUAGGGUUGUAAAGCUCUUUCACCGGUGAAGAUAAUGACGGUAACCGGAGAAGAAGCCCCGGCUAACUUCGUGCCAGCCGCCGCGGUAAUAC